UACAUAUUCUAUUACACUCUGUUAAAACCAGGUGUGAGAGUGUUCUUUAUCUGUUUCAUUACCCACCCCUCAUAACUGGAGGAUAUCUUCUGUUAAUUGGCCAGCUCUUAAAACUAGGUGUGGCAGUGUUCUUUAUCUCUUCCACGACCCAUCCUCCCUCCAGGGAGGUAUCUUCUGUUAAUGGUCUCACUUUUAUGACUGAUAAAAUUACCUCAUCCCAUUGUGAGAUGCUCCACCCAGGGGGAGGAGCCAAGCAUUCCUACCUGAAUAUAAUCGGGGGCUCGAAACACCACAGCAGCCUUUCUCCACUGGAUUUCCAGAGGUGAGACUGGACCCAACUACACCACUGGACCUUCAGAGGAAAACUGCUCCCUUCAUUGCCUCAACGGAACCACGUCAGUCACUCCAGGAGGGCUGCAGCCACCAUUUCAUCAGACUCCUACCAGCACUCUAACCAACAGGGGGUCAGAAGCUAUUUGGAUGAUCAAGGGAUAAAACCUCACCUUUGACUUGCAAAACACCCCUGAUUUAGUCCCAGUCACCAUGAAUAAGAAUACCUGGAGUCUGCAUGGGAAGAGCAAGAGUGUUUCAGAAGAAGCUCUGCAUCACAGCACUGAGGAUGAAGACUCUACCCAGGGAAUGGAGCCCUAUCUUGUGCGGAGAUUAUCGUCCCGUAACAUUCAGCUUCCCCCGCUGGCUUUCAGGCAGUUGGAACAGGCAGACGGGGAUAAAAAGAAUGAUACUGAGACUAUCCCAAGGCCCACAACUCUUCCACUGAUACCUCCUCUGAUUGCUAUUACAGCUGCUGAGUCCAGCAGGUAAGAUCCAGCAAUUUGUUAUUUAUUCCACAUUUCCUGUGGCUGGUACAGAGCUGAUUCUGGGAGAGAAGUCUAUUGCUUUUCUAAAGCUACUAAAUGAAAAAGUUGAAUAAAAUGUCUGUAAAUUUCUGCCUGACAAUUGGUAAUACUGCUUGUAAGGCUUUUGGUCAUAUCUAGUAAAACAAACUCUAAAAAACAUUUUUUCUGAACAUUAUUAAUACUUCAUACUCUGAAGGAAGGUUCCUGGAAGCUGGAUUAACCAUUUAUGAUGAUGAAGGAGAGGAGGAGGUAGAGGAUGAAAGGAGCUUUUUAUACACAGAAUUUUUUAAAAUUACACAAUUUCAAAACUAGCUUCAAGAAAUCCUGAGGGAAUUUUGCCUGCUUUUGUAUAUCUACAUCAUUUGUAAGAUAUAUGGUUUGAAAUUAUUUGGUUAUUGUGAUUUCUAUUGUAGUUUCUUCAUAUUGUAUAUGUGACUUUUUAUAUAAUACAUGUUUUCUAAAGUAAACUUUCCUGUUCUGAAAUUUUCUGAUAACAUACCAUUUUCUGUCCUUAUUUUCCAAAAUAUAGAGUGUUUAGUAUGAAAGUUUUGCUUACAAUGGUCAAGGCAAUACAGCUGUUCGGUGACAUGAUUAUAUAUAAGGAAAAGGUAACAUGAAAACACUGAGAGCUAACAUGCAGUACUUAAGAAUUUUAGAACAUAUGUUCUGAGAGAAUACUAAUAAAUGUAGUUACGAGAAGAAUGUAGGACUUGUAGUACAUGAGUAAACCACAAGUAUUCAUUAGGCUGCUUAGCCAAAAAGCCAGCUAAUAUUAACAUUGACUUUAAUACCACUUCCCAUAUCUUAUUUCCUCCUAGAUACCCUUAUAUUUUUGAAGAACAUUUCCCAUUCUGGAAAUAUCCUCAUAGAAAUACUAUAGAAAUACAUCCAUAAAAACAUGUAAACAUUUAGAUGGUUUUCAAAUGAAAAUAUUUUUUUGAAAGUUAAAUGGAAUGAAGUUUAGUGAUGUUUUGAAGAUAGAUCGGUGUCUUGAUUUUUUGUUUUGAUCCAUGGAGUCUAGAGAGAAGAUUAUCUGAGAUUUGAAAGGAAAAUAAGUGCAACUCUUCUAGUAAUACUGACUGGAAAAUUAAAAAAAAAAUAAAAAAAAAAUA